UGGGGAAUUUUGGACAAUGGGGGAAACCCUGAUCCAGCCAUCCCGCGUGUGCGAUGAAGGCCUUCGGGUUGUAAAGCACUUUUGGCAGGAAAGAAACGUCAUGGGUUAAUACCCCGUGAAACUGACGGUACCUGCAGAAUAAGCACCGGCUAACUACGUGCCAGCAGCCGCGGUAAUACGUAGGGUGCAAGCGUUAAUCGGAAUUACUGGGCGUAAAGCGUGCGCAGGCGGUUCGGAAAGAAAGAUGUGAAAUCCCAGAGCUCAACUUUGGAACUGCAUUUUUAACUACCGGGCUAGAGUGUGUCAGAGGGGGGUGGAAUUCCGCGUGUAGCAGUGAAAUGCGUAGAUAUGCGGAGGAACACCGAUGGCGAAGGCAGCCUCCUGGGAUAACACUGACGCUCAUGCACGAAAGCGUGGGGAGCAAACAG
rnacentral:rRNA from 1 species